rnacentral:lncRNA from 1 species
UGAGUUGUCUGGUUCAAUGGUUAAGCUUUUGUAUAGUUUUUAGUCUUGUGUUCGAAUCCUAGUAGAAGUAAUAGGGAAUAUUUUAUUUUUGAAUUUCGUUGUACAGUAGUUAGUUUCGGUUGGUUACUUAAAACCUUCCAGAAACCUCCAGUGUGGUUUUUUUUCAUUUUGUUCUUUCUUUUUCUGCCAUGUUUUUUUGUCAUUCCUUUCUUGUUCUUUAGUUUUUCAUUUUGGUUUUUUUAUUUUCAAGUGACCUUUCUUUUUUGUUAUGUUACGUUACACUGAUUCUGUACGGGUCUGACUCCCCCUUCUAGUUUAAUUCGUUGGCCGAUAAGUUCAAUUUAAAGUUUUGGUGUCGAAGUUCUUCGACGUAACUUCAAUUUUGGAAUGUUAGUUUUUAGCGAUUUGACUGCGAGUUAAUCGUUUGUUGGAAAAUUGUU